CAUUAAAAAAGUAUUCUUCUUUAUCUCUACCCCUACUUUCGCCUUCCCCCUUUUUUUUCUCUUUUUUUCCUAUUCCCUCUUCUUCCUUGUAAAUUUUGAAACAUCCAAUUUAAAAUCUAAAUCAACAUCCUUGAGCAGGCAUACCUUAGGUAUUUUCUAGCAAUNAUGAAUCUUAGGUAUUUUCUAGCAAUAAAGGAUAUGGAUUAUAAUAGCCAGUACUGUCCCUUGUGUACUGUCUUCACACACUGUAAAGUCAACACCACCGCCAUUUUCUAUUAUAAUUGUCCUGCAGUUAAGAGGGGGAGAUUGCUUUGUAGCCUUCUUUUUCAAGAACCUUUGCAAUAGAGAUAUCCCCCGUCUUUACAAUUCUCCCAUCCUCCAUGAUAUGGAUAUAUGUAGGCUGAAUGAAUUCCAAAAGUCGUAGAUA
rnacentral:misc_RNA from 1 species